CCAGACUCCUACGGGAGGCAGCAGUGAGGAAUAUUGGUCAAUGGCCGCAGGGCUGAACCAGCCAAGUCGCGUGAGGGAUGACGGUCCUAUGGAUUGUAAACCUCUUUUGUCAGGGAGCAAUGCCGGGCACGCGUGCCCGGAGGGAGAGUACCCGCAGAAUAAGCAUCGGCUAACUCCGUGCCAGCAGCCGCGGUAAUACGUAGGGGGCAAGCGUUAUCCGGAUUUACUGGGUGUAAAGGGAGCGUAGACGGUUAUGUAAGUCUGGAGUGAAAGCCCGGGGCCCAACCCCGGGACUGCUUUGGAAACUGUGUAACUGGAGUACAGGAGGGGCAGGCGGAAUUCCUGGUGUAGCGGUGAAAUGCGUAGAUAUCAGGAGGAACACCGGCGGCGAAGGCGGCCUGCUGGACUGAAACUGACGUUGAGGCUCGAAAGCGUGGGGAGCAAACAGGAUUAGAUACCCUUGUAAC
rnacentral:rRNA from 1 species